UACGUAGGGUGCAAGCGUUGUCCGGAAUUAUUGGGCGUAAAGAGCUCGUAGGCGGUUUGUCGCGUCGAAUGUGAAAACCCGGGGCUCAACCCCGGGCCUGCAUUCGAUACGGGCAGACUAGAGUUCGGUAGGGGAGUCUGGAAUUCCUGGUGUAGCGGUGAAAUGCGCAGAUAUCAGGAGGAACACCGGUGGCGAAGGCGGGACUCUGGGCCGAUACUGGCGCUGAGGAGCGAAAGCGUGGGGAGCAAACAGG
rnacentral:rRNA from 1 species